UUGCAGUGCUGGAGAGCACAGCCCUCUCGCCAAGGCACGGGCAGUGGCCUGGCAGGCUUCUCCACACUUCUCUGCCAACGUGCCUUGCCCCGACCUGGAAGAGCCACCUCCAGAUGCAAGAAGGGCUUAAUCUCCCCAGCCCAUGUAGCCCCUGGCCUCC
rnacentral:sRNA from 1 species